GACGAACGCUGGCGGCGUGCUUAACACAUGCAAGUCGAACGGAAAGGCCCUGCUUUUGUGGGGUGCUCGAGUGGCGAACGGGUGAGUAACACGUGAGUAACCUGCCCUUGACUUUGGGAUAACUUCAGGAAACUGGGGCUAAUACCGGAUAGGAGCUCCUGCUGCAUGGUGGGGGUUGGAAAGAUUCGGCGGUUGGGGAUGGACUCGCGGCUUAUCAGCUUGUUGGUGGGGUAGUGGCUUACCAAGGCUUUGACGGGUAGCCGGCCUGAGAGGGUGACCGGCCACAUUGGGACUGAGAUACGGCCCAGACUCCUACGGGAGGCAGCAGUGGGGAAUAUUGCACAAUGGGCGGAAGCCUGAUGCAGCAACGCCGCGUGCGGGAUGACGGCCUUCGGGUUGUAAACCGCUUUCGCCUGUGACGAAGCGUGAGUGACGGUAAUGGGUAAAGAAGCACCGGCUAACUACGU
rnacentral:rRNA from 1 species